rnacentral:rRNA from 1 species
UUUGAAAUCUGGCGUCUUUGGCGUCCGAGUUGUAAUUUGAAGAAGGUAUCUUUGGGCCCGGCUCUUGUCUAUGUUCCUUGGAACAGGACGUCACAGAGGGUGAGAAUCCCGUGCGAUGAGAUGACCCGGGUCUGUGUAAAGUUCCUUCGACGAGUCGAGUUGUUUGGGAAUGCAGCUCUAAGUGGGUGGUAAAUUCCAUCUAAAGCUAAAUAUUGGCGAGAGACCGAUAGCGAACAAGUACAGUGAUGGAAAGAUGAAAAGAACUUUGAAAAGAGAGUGAAAAAGUACGUGAAAUUGUUGAAAGGGAAGGGCUUGAGAUCAGACUUGGUAUUUUGCAUGUUGCUCUCUCGGGGGCGGCCGCUGCGGUUUACCGGGCCAGCAUCGGUUUGGAGCGGCAGGAUAAUGGCGGAGGAAUGUGGCACGGCUUCUGCUGUGUGUUAUAGCCUCUGACGAUACUGCCAGCCUAGACCGAGGACUGCGGUUUUUACCUAGGAUGUUGGCAUAAUGAUCUUAAGUCGCCCGUCUUGAAACACGGACCAAGGAGUCUAACGUCUAUGCGAGUGUUUGGGUGUAAAACCCGUACGCGUAAUGAAAGUGAACGAAGGUGGGGGCCCAUUAGGGUGCACCAUCGACCGAUCCUGAUGUGUUCGGAUGGAUUUGAGUAAGAGCAUAGCUGUUGGGACCCGAAAGAUGGUGAACUAUGCCUGAAUAGGGUGAAGCCAGAGGAAACUCUGGUGGAGGCUCGUAGCGGUUCUGACGU